UUUAUGGAGAGUUUGAUCCUGGCUCAGGACGAACGCUGGCGGCGUGCUUAACACAUGCAAGUCGAACGGAAAGGCC
rnacentral:rRNA from 1 species